GGAAAAAGGCGUUGAAACCCCCAAUGGGAAUGGACAAAGCUGAACAGGCUCUUGAGAUCCUACGUGUGCUGCCAUCACUGUUCCCCUCCACGUCUGCUCCUCCAAAGAGGGUACGAAAUGCGAGUGAGGCUCUGGUGCAUGUCCUCGAGGAAACGGAAGACCCCAAUUCAUACCUGAAAAAA